GUGCUUUACAGCUUCUGAGUUCAAAAGCACAUGGCCUGGAUAGUCCUUCACCACAUCCCAUGCUCUUAUUGGGGUUUUGACCUUGAAGGACAACGUUUUUCAUUGGGGAACAUUUGAAACGGAUAAGAUAUGUUGAAUGGGAGCCGACUCCGUCGAUCCGCUUGCAUCAGCUUGGUUGUCAAAGUGUAAAGUAGCUGGUUUUGGGUCUAGGAACGUUGCAUGUCUUGCGAUAGAAUUGCCAAGGAACACGCAAUAGCCACUUGUUGACCUCUGUGUUGUUGGACAUCCCGCCCAAUCUGAAUCACAGUAUGUCGUCAACUUCAUCUCAUUUUUAGCAGGAAAAAAAGGUCCUUGUUGUUAAUGUAAACAAAUCUAGAGAAUGUAUUCAGAGGGUUUAGAGAGAAAAUAGCUCAAAGAGAAGAGAGAGAGAUUGAAAAUUCUUCGUAUAUUUCUUAUUGAACA